rnacentral:tRNA from 1 species
GGCUCAGUUGAGCAAUCCCGGCGGCCUUCUAAUCCGCCGGUCGCAGGUUCGAGUCCUGCCGGGG